rnacentral:rRNA from 1 species
CAGACGGGUGAGUAACGCGUGGUCAACCUACCGUUGAGUUUGGGAUAACUAGCCGAAAGGUUAGCUAAUACCGGAUACGUCUCCGAGGGGCAUCCCUUGGCGAUAAAAGGAGCAAUCCGCUCGAUGACGGGACCGCGUCCCAUUAGCUAGAUGGUGGGGUAAUGGCCUACCAUGGCACCGAUGGGUAGCUGGUUUGAGAGAGCGACCAACCACACUGGGACUGAGAUACGGCCCAG